UUUUUUUUUUUUUAGCUUGUACUUUGGAUGUCAUAUCUAUUGCCUAACCCAAAGUCAUGGAGAUUUGGUUCUACUUUUUUUUUUCCUAGGAGUUUUAUAUUUUUAGCUCUUACAUUUAAAUAUAUGAUUUAGUUUGGGUUAAUUUUUAUGUAUGAUGUAAGGAACUUUACUUUUUUGCACAUGGAAAAAUUGUUUCAGCACCAUUUGUUUUAAAGACUUCUUUCCUGUUCUUAAAACUGGAAAUAUUUCUGAUUGUUUCCAGGCUUCUACUACAUUUCCAGAUGAACUCAACAGUCUUUUAGGGCUCCCUGGCAUUUGCUCAUCUAAGUCAUUCACAGGUUAUUUCAGUAUUCUCUGGGAUGUUAAUGGCUUAAGAUCAGAAGAUUUAACGUGCUUUAGAGAGACUAGGUACUCUCAUAACCUUACCUUUUAUUGUGGUUCCUAUCCCUAUUUAUCCAUAUUCUAUCCCUUUUCACUCUGAACCACUUCCUUCACUGAAAUGAUAAAGACAAAACAGAAGUGAAUGAAUUCUCUCUCUCACUCCUGUUAAUUUACACCAUUGACUUCAAAUAAAUGUACCGCCUCCUUUUUAUCCUCUUGUACCUAGCAAAGCUCUUUUAUUUAAAAAAAAAAAAAAAUCCAGUUGAAAGAGUGAGAGCACAGGGAGGAGAGGGGUAGGUGGAAGAAGAGGGGGGAAGCUGACUUCCUGCUGAGCAGAAAGCCUCAAACUGGGCUUAAUUCCAGGAUCCUGGGCUCAUGAUCUGAGCCGAAGGCAGAUACUUAACUGAAUGAGCCACCCAGGAACCUAUCCUUGUAAAGCUCUCCUAUCAUCCUUAGGAUUUCCCCCAACUUUAAACUCAUUUAUUUUUUCUGUGAAUCAAUGAUUUAUCUUAUUAAAAAUGAAAAUCUUUCUUUUUUUGUCUAGUCAGCUGCUACCAUUUUCCACGGAACUAACAAUUCCAAUUAAAAAUUUUGGAUGUGAAAGAAAUUAGUAUAAUCUAUACUUGUAACUUUUUACUUUGAAAAAUUUCAAAGUUAGAGAAAAGUUAUAAUAUAGUGAACACCUCCAAUUAGAUUCACCCAUUUUAAGCAUUUUGCCACAUUUACCUUCUCUUAAUACACAUACACUGUAUGUGUGUAUAUUUUACCCAUUUUACAUACAUGUAUUAUAUAUCCAUUUUUUUUUCUGAAUCACGUAAAAGUUGUAGACACCACAACACCUCAGUCAUAAAAGCCAUAAAAGCUUUGGCAUAAAAUUUCCAAGAUUAAGUAUAAUACUACAAAAUAUCUUUUUUAAGAUCCAAAAUUCCAUUUUGUUGUUACAUCUCUUGAGUCUCUUUAAUAUGGAGAUUUAAAAAAAAUUAUAUUGGUUCAAUGAACAGUCCAAGUCAAUUGUUAUUGUUUUUUAAUAGAAUAUGCCAUAUUCUGUAUUUAUUUGCCUGUUUCUUCCUGUUUGACUUAUUCUGAUACCCUCUAUAUGUCAUUUCAGUUUUUAAAUCUAAACCAGGACUGUUCAACCUUGGCACUAUUGUCAUUUUGGGCCAGAUAAUUCUUCAUUGUGGGGAAGGUGUCCUGUCUAUUGUGUAAUGUUUAGCUGUACUCAUAAGAUGCAGUAACCCUCCUCAGGUUAUGACAACUGAUAAUGUCUCCAGACACUGUCAAAUGUGCCCAUUUGGGUAAAGGGUAGGGUGGGGGUGGGGGGUGGGGAUCCAGCUUCUGGUUGGGAACUACUGUCUGGAAGCUUGAUUAAAUUCAGGUUAAACAAUUUUGCAAGAAUAUUUCUUAGAUGAUGUGUAUUUCUAGUUGCACUACAGCAGUAAGCCCAUAAUAUCAGAUUGACCCAUUAGUGAUCCUAGCUUUAGUAAUUUAAGGCAGUGAUUUUCUUUUUUAAGGUAAAGGUACAUUUAUUUUCUUUUGCAAUAAUUAAAUUAUGGCUUGAUACCUUGAAACCACGUGAAGAUCCUGUACUCCUUCCACCUUUCAGCAGUGGCUUUUAGCAUCCUUUGAUGAACUUUGCCUGAAUCAACUGUUAAUGAUUCGGAAAAUGGUGAUUUUCUAAUCGUAUCAAUUGUUCUACAUUUAUUCUCUGGUAUACCUCCGAAAGAAAAACUUUUAUUAUUUCUCCUUUUCUUUCUUUUUAAAAUUUUUAUUUUUUGGGAUCCCUGGGUGGCGCAGCGGUUUAGCGCCUGCCUUUGGCCCAGGGUGCGAUCCUGGAGAUCCAGGAUCGAAUCCCACGUCGGGCUUCCGGUGCAUGGAGCCUGCUUCUCCCUCUCUCUGUGUGACUAUCAUAAAUUAAAAAAAAGAAAAAAAAAUAAUAAUAAUAAAAUUAUUUUUUAAGUAAUCUCUACACCCAAUGUGGGGCUUGAAUUUACAGUCCCAAGAUCAAGGGUCACAUGCUUUACCAACUGAGCCAGCAAGGCACCACUUGUUUUUAGUGCCACUCUGAAACCGUGCGUUUUACAUAUUUUUUUUUAGUUCAAUAAAUUAUCAUUGUUUUUUGAUGCUAAUAUGAUCCAAAAUUUUUCCAGUGGUAAUUUUCAACCCAUUCUAGAAAACAUUUUUUUUUUUUUUUUUUUUAAGAUUUAUUCAUAAUAGAGAGAGAGACACACACACACAUAGGCAGAGGGA
rnacentral:lncRNA from 1 species